rnacentral:rRNA from 1 species
CAUGCAGUCGAGCGAACAGACGAGGAGCUUGCUCCUCUGACGUUAGCGGCGGACGGGUGAGUAACACGUGGAUAACCUACCUAUAAGACUGGGAUAACUUCGGGAAACCGGAGCUAAUACCGGAUAACAUAUUGAACCGCAUGGUUCAAUAGUGAAAGACGGCUUUGCUGUCACUUAUAGAUGGAUCCGCGCCGCAUUAGCUAGUUGGUAAGGUAACGGCUUACCAAGGCAACGAUGCGUAGCCAACCUGAGAGGGUGAUCGGCCACACUGGAACUGAGACACGGUCCAGACUCCUACGGGAGGCAGCAGUAGGGAAUCUUCCGCAAUGGGCGAAAGCCUGACGGAGCAACGCCGCGUGAGUGAUGAAGGUCUUCGGAUCGUAAAACUCUGUUAUCAGGGAAGAACAAAUGUGUAAGUAACUGUGCACGUCUUGACGGUACCUGAUCAGAAAGCCACGGCUAACUACGUGCCAGCAGCCGCGGUAAUACGUAGGUGGCAAGCGUUAUCCGGAAUUAUUGGGCGUAAAGCGCGCGUAGGCGGUUUUUUAAGUCUGAUGUGAAAGCCCACGGCUCAACCGUGGAGGGUCAUUGGAAACUGGAAAACUUGAGUGCAGAAAAGGAAAGUGGAAUUCCAUGUGUAGCGGUGAAAUGCGCAGAGAUAUGGAGGAACACCAGUGGCGAAGGCGACUUUCUGGUCUGUAACUGACGCUGAUGUGCGAAAGCGUGGGGAUCAAACAGGAUUAGAUACCCUGGUAGUCCACGCCGUAAACGAUGAGUGCUAAGUGUUAGGGGGUUUCCGCCCCUUAGUGCUGCAGCUAACGCAUUAAGCACUCCGCCUGGGGAGUACGACCGCAAGGUUGAAACUCAAAGGAAUUGACGGGGACCCGCACAAGCGGUGGAGCAUGUGGUUUAAUUCGAAGCAACGCGAAGAACCUUACCAAAUCUUGACAUCCUCUGACCCCUCUAGAGAUAGAGUUUUCCCCUUCGGGGGACAAAAUGACCAAGGGGGGC